UACAGAGGUCCCGAGCGUUGUUCGGAUUCACUGGGCGUAAAGGGUGCGUAGGUGGUGAGGUAAGUCGGAUGUGAAAUCUCCGGGGCUCAACCCCGGAAACUGCAUUGGAAACUACCUUGCUUGAGGGUUUGAGGGGGGACUGGAAUUCUCGGUGUAGCAGUGAAAUGCGCAGAUAUCAGGAGGAACACCGAUGGCGAAGGCAGGUCUCUGGGCCGAUACUGACGCUGAGGAGCGAAAAGCGUUGGGGGAGCGAACAGG
rnacentral:rRNA from 1 species